rnacentral:tRNA from 1 species
GGGGGUAUAGCUUAGUGAUAGAGCACUUGCCAAGCAUGCAUGAGGCUCUGGGUGGAAUCCCCAGCACUUCAA